rnacentral:tRNA from 1 species
ACGAACAUGGCGAAAUUGGUAAACGCGAUAGUUUCAGGUACUAUUGGGCUAUAAUCCUUACAAGUUCAAAUCUUGUUGUUCGUA